rfam:Naegleria gruberi genomic scaffold NAEGRscaffold_69, whole genome shotgun sequence.
CCGAUGAUAGCUCAGUUGGUAGAGCAUGGGACUGUAGUUAGCUCUGUCAUCCUAUGGUCGGCGGUUCAAUUCCGUCUCAUCGGA